rnacentral:rRNA from 1 species
GAGUACUAAAAAUUAUGAAAACAAAAAACUUUGGCGGUACUUUAAGCUUUUCAGAGGAAUUUGCUCUUUAAUGGAUAAAUCGCCUAAAUCUUACUAAAAUUUGUUAAGUCAGUUUGUAUACCACUAUAAAAGUAAUAUUUAAUUAUUAUUACUUUAAUUUUUAAAAUAAAAAAUUAAAUUAAGUCAUGGUGCAGCAUAAAUUUUAGGAUGAAGUGAAUUACAUUUCUUAUUAGAAAUUUAAAAAUUAAAAUUAAUUUUAGGAUUUGAAAGUAAAAAUUCAAUAAAAUGGUUUUU